AGGAAAUAGAUACCCGGGUAGUCCACGCCCUAAACGAUGUCGACUGGUUGUUGGGGGUUUGACACUCUCAGUAAACGAAAGCUAAACGCGUGAAAGUCGACCGCCUGGGGAGUACGGCCGCAAGGUUAAAACUCAAAGGAAUUGACGGGGACCCGCACAAGCGGUGGAUUAUGUGGAUUAAUUCGAUGCAACGCGAAAAACCUUACCUACCCUUGACAUGUCCUGAAUCCUGGAGAGAUCCGGGGGUGCCCGAAAGGGAACGGGAACACAGGUGCUGCAUGGCUGUCGUCAGCUCGUGUCGUGAGAUGUUGGGUUAAGUCCCGCAACGAGCGCAACCCUUGUCAUUAGUUGCUACCGCAAGGAGCACUCUAAUGAGACUGCCGGCGACAAACCGGAGGAAGGUGGGGAUGACGUCAAGUCCUCAUGGCCCUUAUGGGUAGGGCUUCACACGUAAUACAAUGGUCGGUACAGAGGGUUGCCAAGCCGCGAGGCGGAGCCAAUCCCAGAAAGCCGAUCGUAGUCCGGAUCGCAGUCUGCAACUCGACUGCGUGAAGUC
rnacentral:rRNA from 1 species